rnacentral:rRNA from 1 species
UACGGAGGGGGCUAGCGUUGUUCGGAAUUACUGGGCGUAAAGCGCACGUAGGCGGCUUUGUAAGUUAGAGGUGAAAGCCCAGGGCUUAACCCUGGAAUUGCCUUUAAGACUGCAUCGCUAGAAUCGUGGAGAGGUGAGUGGAAUUCCGAGUGUAGAGGUGAAAUUCGUAGAUAUUCGGAAGAACACCAGUGGCGAAGGCGACUCACUGGACACGUAUUGACGCUGAGGUGCGAAAGCGUGGGGAGCAAACAGA